UGCGCUUAGGGCAUUCACCGUGGGCAGACGAGGGGGAAUCCUGCGCCUCUUCUUCCUCCUAGGAUUUUGGGAAAGAGGAAGCAGUUUUUCAGAAGCUGAGAAGGGAGGGGAAUUGUAAGGCCGUGUCUUAAAUUCCAUGCUGAAGGUUGGCGGGAAGUUCGGUGGACGCAUCCCUCCUCUCCAAACCUGGCUGCGGGCUGGGCAUCGCGCCCUUGAGCCGCUCCUCCCCUCCCAGUUCUGCCCAGUGGCACAAAUUGGUCGCUGAGGCCGGGACCAGGACCCCGUGUCCCCACCCGCGACCCAGUCCCCUGGGUCACCGAGGAUUGGGGCAGGGGGAGGCAUCUUGAUCCCUGAUCGUCUGCGAGUGCAGCGGCUGGUGGGAGGCCGCGGUAAUUAGAGCAUUUGGAAUAAAUUUGGGAAGCGCUGGGAUGCCGUCUCCCCUUUGAUGCUUUUCCUGCAGGAGGGAAGAGUCCGAGGCUCCGCAGCCCUGCGGUUGGGAGCGCCGGCCGGCGUUGCUGUGCGGCGAGCUCUGCUCUGACUCUGAUUACAAAUGAAACGAGUUUGCCGGGCUCAGCCGCAUCCUCGACAGCGCAAGUGGCCACCUUCUCUGGGGGGACCCGGAACGGCUUCGCUGGGGGCUUCUGGGGCGAAAGCAAUCUGCUUUCAAGAUGUGGGGAGGACGGAAGCGGCGUUUCAAAGGCUUCGAGCGCUGCAGCCCCGCCAGACGUGGAGGCCUCUGCAGAUGAGCCUCGCUGGAGCUGCUGAACAUGGGCCUUCAAAGGUGAUGGAGGAGAAGGUAAGGAGCUGGGGGACUCUCAUUCCUUGAUGGGGAGGAAUCAACCCUUUGGCAAACGAGCCGGGGCAUUCAGCUGCCCCGGCGGGGGCAGGCAGCCCAGCCCUACAAGCAACCCAACCUGCAGUGAGUUGGGAGUUCUUCCACCAAGAUGCUCUUCUUGCCUUGGCCAGCUUUCACCCGUUGCUGCCCAUCGCUGCGUGCCUGCGCUCACCCGGUACCGUGCUUGGUGGAAGUCGGCAGCGGCGCAGAGAGACCUGCAGAGAACGACGGGGAUGGCUGAGCAGCAGCUACGGCUUUUCCAGCGAGGCACAACCUAUGUUCCUGGACCUGAAUCUCUGGUUGAUUUUCUGUGAGCAGGAGCACAGGGGACCAAGGCCCGUUGGUCGCCGCUUAGGAGUGACACCAAGCGAAACGUGUCUUCCUUGGAGGGAUUGAAAAGAAGGAUGGAUGAGGAGCAGAAGACAACCCUUUGGUUUCCCUUCCCACGGACCGGACUGGAGGCUGUAGGAUCUCCUGGCUGGAAGUGAGUCACCGCAGGAGGAGCUGAGCCCGAUGGAAAGACGCUUCCUGCUAGCCGCAACCGUCAGGAUCCUUGCUCCAUCCGACAAUAAGUGGUUCCUCUGCGCUCCCAUGGGAUGUCCUGAGUGGGACGGAGCUGGACCUGGAGGCAUGGCAAUGCCGUGCCGGCCUUCAGACCAUGCAAGGAACAACCAACUCUUGCCCUGGUGGACCAUCCCUGCAGACCCAUGGCAGAUGGAGAGAGGCCAGGAUGUCCCAGGACAACAGUUUAGGGAAGAGACUGAAAGGGCUCCAUUUGGUUUGCAACCAAGCAGAUGGCAGAGAGGGGUCAGACACAUCCAGGACUGAAUGAAGAGCAUCCACAGGAGGCGUGGGGCUCAGAGACAGCAACAGGCUCAGGUUGACCAAGAUGUGCUGUCAGCCCACCAAGGGCUGCGGUUUUGAGGGGACACCUCAACCCCUUGCUAAAGAAACCUUGGCUCCCACCUUGACCCCGCAAAAGAGCUCCCACUUGAGGUUCCUAUAGCCUCGCUGGGGUUCUUGGUGUGCCUCAGCCCUGUUUUCCCAGGCUAUGGACCUCGCUCUCCACCCACUUGUGGUUUGGUAGUGUCCUUGCUUUCUUUUUUUUCACCUUUUCUUUCUUUGCAAAGCACUUGCCAGCCCCGCAGGAGCCCUGCACACCAUAGAAUCAUGGAAUGGUUUAGGUUGGAGAAG